AUGGUCACCCCUGCUGCAUGUCGAGAAGGUGAAAGCCAAGAACACAGGGUACAGUGUUUCCACGCUCAUCCAGAGCAGGACAAACAGGCCAGGUUGUGUCAGGAGCCCAAGUAUCCAGUUGGUGCAAAUGUCAAACCUGCUGUGGAAGGAGGGGUCCAUUGCCCAUCCUAGGUACAGAUGGUAAUGUAGCGCAGGUAAGCUGGGCUUGGUAGCCCUCCCUAGCUUUGGAAAUAAGCCAAACAAGGAGCUUUCUGGAGAAUGAAAUCUCUUUUCCUUCCAGAAGCACUCCUGAAUUUUUGGUGAUUGCCAUUUGUGGCAGUGAGUUUUUGUCUGUUC
rnacentral:lncRNA from 1 species